GCGCCUAUAGCUUAAUGGUAGAGCGGCUGUCUUAUACACAGCUAGCGGGGGUUCGAUUCCCUCUAGGCGCA
rnacentral:tRNA from 1 species